rnacentral:tRNA from 1 species
GGAGUUGUGGCUCAGUGGUAGAGCGCUCUCCUCGCUCGUGCCAGACCCUGGGUUCGAUCCUCAGCACCA